CAAUAGCGUAUAUUAAAGUUGUUGCGGUUAAAAAGCUCGUAGUUGGAGUUCUGCCAGGUGCCGCCUGUCCGCCCCAGUGGUGAGUACGUGGCGCGCAUUUGGCCCUUUCAAGGGGAGCGUAUCUGCACUUUAUUGUGUGGUGCGGGAUCCUUGACUUUUACUUUGAGGAAAUAGGAGUGUUCCAAGCAGGCUCUCGUCGUGCACAGCUCAGCAUGGAAUAAUAGCAUUGGACCUCGAUUCUAAGCUGUUGGUUGCCAGAAGCGAGGUAAUGAUGAAGAGGGAUAGUUGGGGGCAUUCGUAUUUAACUGUCAGAGGUGAAAUUCUUGGUUUUGUUAAAGACGGACUACUGCGAAAGCAUCUGCCAUGGAUGUUUUCAUUGA
rnacentral:rRNA from 1 species